GAUGAAGAACGUAGCGAAAUGCGAUAAGUAAUGUGAAUUGCAGAAUUCAGUGAAUCAUCGAAUCUUUGAACGCACAUUGCGCCCGCCAGUAUUCUGGCGGGCAUGCCUGUUCGAGCGUCAUUUCAACCAUCGAGCCCCAGGCUUGUGUUGGGGACCUGCGGCUGCCGCAGGCCCUGAAAACCAGUGGCGGGCUCGCUGUCACACCGGGCGUAGUAGAUUUUAUCUCGCUCAGGGCGUGCUGCGGGUUCCGGCCGUUAAAAAGCCUUUUUUACCCAAGGUUGACCUCGGAUCAGGUAGGAAGACCCGCUGAACUUAAGCAUAUCAAUAAGCGGAGGA
rnacentral:misc_RNA from 1 species